GAUGAACGCUGGCGGCGUGCUUAACACAUGCAAGUCGAACGGAAAGGCCACAGCUUGCUGCGGUACUCGAGUGGCGAACGGGUGAGUAACACGUGGGUGAUCUGCCCUGUACUUCGGGAUAAGCUUGGGAAACUGGGUCUAAUACCGGAUAGGAAUCACAUGUGGGUGUGUGGUUGGAAAGCUUUUGCGGUAUGGGAUGAGCUCGCGGCCUAUCAGCUUGUUGGUGGGGUAAUGGCCUACCAAGGCGUCGACGGGUAGCCGGCCUGAGAGGGUGUACGGCCACAUUGGGACUGAGAUACGGCCCAGACUCCUACGGGAGGCAGCAGUGGGGAAUAUUGCACAAUGGGCGCAAGCCUGAUGCAGCGACGCCGCGUGGGGGAUGACGGCCUUCGGGUUGUAAACUCCUUUCGUCAGGGACGAAGCGAAAGUGACGGUACCUGGAUAAGAAGCACCGGCUAACUACGUG
rnacentral:rRNA from 1 species